CCUACGGGUGGCAGCAGUGAGGAAUAUUGGUCAAUGGGCGGGAGCCUGAACCAGCAAAGCCGCGUGAGGGAAGAAGGUACAGCGUAUCGUAAACCUCUUUGGUCAGGGAACAAAGGCGGGGACUAGUCCCCGGAUGAGGGUACCUGAAGAAAAAGCAUCGGCUAGCACCGUGCCAGAAGCCGCGGUAAUACGGAGGAUGAGGGCGUUAUCCGGAUUUAUGGGGGGUAAAGGGUGGGCAGGCAGCCUGUUAAGUCAGCGGGAAAAGCCCGGGGGUCAACCCCGGCGAGCGGUUGAAACUGGCGUGCUGGAGUUGGAGAGAGGUACGCGGAAUGCGCGGUGUAGCGGUGAAAUGCUUAGAUAUCGCGCAGAACCCCGAUUGCGAAGGCAGCGUACCGGCUCCACACUGACGCUGAGGCACGAAAGCGUGGGUAUCGAACAGGAUUAGAUACCCUAGUAGUC
rnacentral:rRNA from 1 species